UCUCUCUGAUCACUUGUCCUGAUAUAAGCCAGACAUUCAAGCAGCCCUAUGGAGAGGUCCACAUGGUGAGGAGCUGAGGCCUUCUGCUAACAACCAGCGCAAAUUUGUGAGGCAUGUGAGUGAACCACCUUGGAAGUAGAUUUUCCAGCCCCAGUCAAACCUUCAUGUAGACUACGUACAAAAUGGACUGUCACCUAGGUUGCAACCUUAUUAAAGAUCCAGAAUCAAAACCAUUCACCCAAGCCAUUCCUGGAUCCCUGAUCCAAAGAAACUAGGAAGACUCCUGGAGGGCAAAGGAUGAAGUACAAGCAUUAAUGACCGACCAGAACACAGAAGAGAGAUCAUCAGAAGUUUUUCCAUUCUGAAUAUGAAACAGGAUGAUCAGUGCCAAAGGUGGGAACUUGGCCCAAUGUUAGUUCAGGAGGCCAAAAAAUUGUUCCACAACAGAAAGGCUGUGCAUAACCAAGGCUCCUUACAAUUCAAGAGGUAAGGAGUGAACUUGGAGAUCAAGGGCUACUGAGGGGCUCCCCAGAGCCCCACAAAAAUCAUUAAGAAGCCAUGUAUUUCCAGAGAUUUUUAAUGCAGACAAAGCUGCUCCAUUUUAGAAAAAGAUAACCCUAGAACAUCCAGCAGCAAGGACAUAAUCAGUUAUAAUGCUUCAAAGAACCAACUUGCAUUCCUUGAACUGCAUCGAGGGCUACAAGCUUAAAGACCUCUUAGUCACUUGAAACUCGUGAAGAAACGAGCUUAAGAAGAGCCUCUCAGAAGCUUAGUUGUUUAAAGUAGAGGGCUUCUAAAAUUACAGCAAAGGAAUAAGAACUAUGUAUGCAUAUGAUAUAGAAGGAAGGCACGAUCACCUCCUAAGGGAGUGAGAUCCUCCUUCAGGAGAAAGGGACAGCCAGGCUGGUUUUAGUGCCGUCAAGUGUUCUGGCAGGCAAAAAAAGAGGAUGAACCAUUUCUUCAUGUCAUCAAACACAUGUUCAGAUGUUUCAGCAUCAAUGCAUGGGAAGUCUUAUUAAUGUAGUCCUGUUGGCACCUGGUGCCCAGUGUCUGAGAACAGUCAAGGGAUGGGAAAGCAGACAAGCAGUAAGGCAAGACAGCCAUCUGACCAGCCCAGGGUGUGAGACCAGAGCCAGAUGUCCGAGGUCCUGUGUAUCAUAACAGAGUUUGAACUCAAUCCUGUGGGCACUGAGGGUUGGGCUUUUAGCAGGUCAGUGACACAGUGAGAUUUCUGUAUCCAAGAGCUCAUCCGGCAACAUGGAGGAUGGGUUUCAGGCAGGGAGACCAGGAUGCCACUGGCACACUUCGAGGAACAAGUCUUCACCAGAUAGGAUGCUGAGUACCCCUGGCCCAGCCCCUGGCCACUAAAUACCAUAAAUACCCAUCUCUCCAGUCUGCAACAACCAAAACAUGCACCCACAUAUUCCGAAUGGCACCACCCCACUGGAGAACCCCUGUUCAAGAGGGAGCGGACAAGGCAGCAAAGAAAACUUGGAAAGUUCCAGGACGGAAAGAAAAGCAGAUCCAAUCCUCCAGCCACCCCUCCAAAAUAUAGCCAGGAUGUGACCCUUCUCCUUACUUCCCCACCUCCACCAUCAGCACCUCAUCUAAGCCAUCCCUUGCACAGAUUGUUGUAAUUAUCUCCUAACUGGUCUUUCUACUUCUAGCCUUACUUCCCCUUGGCAAACACUUUCCAUAUAACAGCAGAGUGAGCCUUUUCAAUUUUACUAAUUCUAUUUAACAAACACUUUUAUAAUACUAUCUGCCAUGCUCUGUUCUUCACAAAUAUUAACUCAUCUAAUCCUUACGACACUAUGAGACAGGUAUCAUUACUAUCUCCAUUUUACCGAUAAGGCACAGAGAAGUUAUGGAACUAAUCCAUGGUCCUACAGCCAGCACGUAGACAGUUGGGUUUUUACCGCAGUAGCCAGCUCCGGAGUCUGUGCUCCUGCCUGCUACCCAGGCUGCAGUCCAGUUUACUCAUUCCUCUAUUCAAGACUCAACUGUCUUCUCACUCAGAGUCAAAACCAAGAUCCUUGUCACAGCCAAUAAGGUCUGAGGUAUAGGGACCCCCACUACCUCCUCUGCCUCAUCUCCAGCCCUUUGCUCCCUCCAGCCUUACCCGCGUGGUGGCUGGGAUAUGGGCACACAUGUGAGCACUGGCUCCAGGGCCUCUGCACUGUGCCCUCUAUCUGGAGCGUUCUUCCUGCAGGCAGCCAGAGAGCUGGCUCCUUCAUUUCAUUAAGGUCUCUACUCAAAUGUGCUUACAUUAGCAAGGGCUUCCUAUCCAUCCAAUAUCAAAUAACACCUCUACUCCCACCCCUAGCAUUUUCAA